UUCAGAACGUCGUGAGACAGUUCGGUCCCUAUCCGGCGCAGGCGCAGGAUAUCUGAGAGGAGCUGUCCUUAGUACGAGAGGACCGGGAUGGACGGACCGCCGGUGCACCUGUUGGGUACCAGACCCACAGCAGGGUAGCCGAGUCCGGCAGGGAUAAACGCUGAAGGCAUCUAAGCGUGAAGCCCCCCUCAAGAUGAGAUAUCCCAGGAGUGAUCCUAAGACCCCUUGGAGAGUACGAGGUAGAUAGGCAUGAGGUGUAAGCACAGCAAUGUGUUCAGCUGACAUGUACUAAUCGGUCGAGGGCUUAACCAC
rnacentral:rRNA from 1 species